AGCCCCGUAGUGAGUAACACGUCAAAUUGCAAAUUUGAAAGAAUUCCCUAUUUUGGUGCCGGGGCUU
rnacentral:tRNA from 1 species